GUAAUAUGCAAGCCUUUUAAGCAUUUAUGCGUUCCUUUUCCUGCAGAGAAUUAAUACUUGCACAUAGCACUAAAUAUUGUUGUAGAAAAAAAUUGAAAUCAAUAGAUGAGAUAAAAACCAGGGAAAUUCUAGCGUCUAAUGUUGCUGAAUCUAAAAUUAUUAUGAUGAGUUCUUUACACUCCAUCGGUGGUAAAUUCAUUGUUACAGGAUAACAAUAUAAAUAUACCCCCGGUGGCAUUCAGGUAAUACCGUUGUUGAUGGAGGACAAUGUUUGGGUCGUAAAGCUUUGCCGCCAGAUCUCUUUCAACCAAACUUUCUUACAUAAAUCAGGCUCAUGCAACACAUGUCCAGUGCCAAGCAAAUGAGUCAGAAACUAUGAUUAGCUGAGCAAGUCAAAACACACACAAUACAUGCCAAACAUGCUGUGACAAUCACCAGCUUCACUUUAUCUUCAUUCCUUGCGCUGCCAUUCAUAUUCAAUGUUUUUAUCAGAAAAAACAUGUACCAUUUUGUCUUCAGUGUACGAAUCAAAGAACUAAAUUGAAAUUAUAUCCACUUAUAUUAUCUGCAGGAGUGCCUUUAUGUGAGCAUGAAAAGUAGUGAGAAUGCCUUCAUAUGUAUGAUAAGGAUAGAAACAACUACAAUAUGUGAAUCUCUUAUUUUCAGAACUGAUGGUAUUGCUUGGUGAUUUCGAAAGAGUAGAGAGUUCUAUGUGCCUUUAGCGAACAACUCCACAUGCAAGUAGAAACACUGGCUUCAACAUAAUCACAACCCAAAUCCACUGUUUUCUUCAAUUUACAACCUUCCUUAGUUCCUUUUUCAACCUUUGUUCUUCUAUUCAUGAUGUAGUUGAUAUUGUUCAAUUGGAGGAAAAAAAAAGGACUUUAGACUUUUUAGGCCUUAGCCAACUUUGUUCUCUGUUUUCUCAUUAUAAUCUGUUCCCUAGUGUGUUCCGCAACAACACAUGAUUCUUAGAACAUGAACUGCAGGCAAAUAGCAUGGAAUCAAAAAGGUAAUACCUUAACAAAACGAGGGGACCGGCGAACUGAUGCAGGGGACAGAAUCGAUAGUUUAUCCCCUCUUCCAAGAUUAACUUUCUUUGACUGUCCGUUUACUUGAUGUGGAUACUCAUUUUCCUUCAUGGGAGAGUCACUUCUGUCAGCUGAAACUGACAUAAAGGGAGCAGACACAGAUACUGUCGUAGACUCUUGAUGAAGACUUGAAGAUUGUAUUGAAGUUCCUACUGUGUGAAGAACAAUACAAUUUCUUUUAUAAAUACUGAAUUGCUUGUAAAAAAACACAGACAAGAGCCUAUUUGUCAAACGUCACUACAUAUCCAUGGUUGCCCAUAAAUUUGGCUAGAUUUAUGAAAAAUUAUGUGGAAAGGGUUCCCAAAAAAGGAACCACGUGAUAUAGGAUGCAGGUUAAAAUCUCUACCAAUCGAUGCAGCUUCUUGAAACUUCUCUCUCAUUGUUCUAACAAAUUUGAAUAAGCCAUUGGUUCUAUUCAACUCGUGGACCAACUCUUUAGUGUCAUUCAAGUGGGGAUUACAAGCCAACACUGAAAAUCAAGAGAAAAAAUGAAAAAUAGAUAUGACAAUAACAGAUUCAACAAUGAUAUAUAGUCAACAUGUAGGCAUAGCUUACAAGAAUAUGUAUCAUCUUCGUGGCAAAUGGUAAAAGUGUACUCCUCACACGGAUUGCUCAAGUUGAUGUAGUUGAAUGUGAAUUUCACCCCUAAUGAUACCAUAAACUUGUGGAUAGGAAAUUUCCAUGAAGGAAAAACCUAAUAAAUCUUUGAAAAUGAAAUAGCUAUGAUUACCUCUUCCACCUUCAAUUUGGAAACCAAGAACCUUAUUAUACCAUAAUAUCGCCUCUUGAAUUUCUCCUAUAUGUUCAAUGUCUCGGUUUCCCUUUUCUUCAUAUUUUGCCAAAACCAUAAAUGAUACCAAGAAAUGAAAAAGGAAGAAACAAAGAAUUAUAAGUAAUUUUAUUACUAUGUCACAAUUCAAAAGUUUAGGGCAUCAAAUCAAAUCCAAAUAUGAUUUUUGGAUACAAUUGACAAAGAAAGACACAUAAGAAAUGUUACAGCAUGUCAUGAGUUGAGAAAGCAAUUUCUUUUAAAAAAUUGUUUUCUAUGUUGUGGACAACUUUAGGAUGUUACGGCAUUCCAUGAUUCAAAAUCCACAAACAUCAACAGGAUUUCUUUCCUUGCCAAUCAUAUUCCUAUAAACUAUGAUGGUGUAAACAAUUCAUAGAUCAGAAACUAACCACUAGUUGGGUUGAAACACCCUAGAUAAGAUGGAUAAAAUGAGUGCCAAUAUCUGACAAGGAAACUAUAAAGUAUUCCACUGUACCAUGCCCAUGCUGAUAGAUGCCUGCAUGAGUUCCCCCAGUGCCAUAACAAGUCCAAACAAUUUGAUAACACAUUCCAAGAAAUCUCAACCUUUCAGAAUCUUUAGUAUCCAAACUCAACUAACAAUAGAAGCCCUCAUUCAUGGUCUAGAUCCACCAAACUUGAGUUCCCAUGAGAUAACCUAUGGUAACAAUUUUCUACUAUUGUUCAAUUUGGUUGAAAAACAACAAUCAAGGAUAAAAAAACUAUUCAAGUUUCUUGAAAAUAAGCAUAGCAAUAAGGUCUGUGUACAAACAAGUAAUGAUCAAGUGAUAUGAACAAAAGAUAUUACCAACAGAUUGUUGGGAAAUAAUUGCUGCAUAUUCAUCCCUCCUAGCCCUCUGAACUUGCAAAGUUCUUUCAAGUUCUUCUAUUCUAGCUCUCGUAGCAGAAAUGGAGUCCCUUAUAGCCAACUGUUUAGCCUCCUUACGAGUCUUCACCGCCAGCACUUUAAAAAAGUCAUCCUCAGCUUCCCGCAAGCUAGAUUUCAACUUGCCUAAUUUCCCUUGAUUUUGGAGGGUUUCAUCUAAUGUGGAAGUGGUCGAAUCCAGAAAAUGAUCAAACGUCGCCGCAAAGGAGUCGACUUUCUGCAGUGCAACGGGGAUCUCUCUGUCGCAGAUCAGUCGCAAAGACUCCAUUCUCAUCCGCAAAGAUUCCCCCUCUUUACUCUGGACUUGCAUGUAUGAAUUGCUUGCUGUGGGGCGCGUGUGUGUGAGAGAGAGACCGACAGGAGCAAAAACAAGUGAAGUGAGAAAGAGUUUGGAUUUGAAUGAAAGUCUAGUUUCCGCCCGCCAUUUUACUGGAGCUUUUAAACGGAGAUUUCACUUUUACAAUCAGC
rnacentral:misc_RNA from 1 species